rnacentral:rRNA from 2 species
ACAUACGACCAUACCCAUUGGAGAACUCGGGAUCCCGUCCGCUCUCCCAUAGAUAAGCCAGUGAGGGCCGGAUUAGUAGUUGGGUCGGUGACGACCAGCGAAUACCUGGUGUUGUAUGUU